GCUUGCACCUUUCAAGCGAGUGGCGAACGGGUGAGUAACACGUGGAUAACCUGCCUCAAGGCUGGGGAUAACAUUUGGAAACAGAUGCUAAUACCGAAUAAAACUUAGUAUCGCAUGAUACAAAGUUGAAAGGCGCUACGGCGUCACCUAGAGAUGGGUCCGCGGUGCAUUAGUUAGUUGGUGGGGUAAAGGCCUACCAAGACAAUGAUGCAUAGCCGAGUUGAGAGACUGAUCGGCCACAUUGGGACUGAGACACGGCCCAAACUCCUACGGGAGGCUGCAGUAGGGAAUCUUCCACAAUGGGCGAAAGCCUGAUGGAGCAACGCCGCGUGUGUGAUGAAGGCUUUAGGGUCGUAAAGCACUGUUGUAUGGGAAGAAAUGCUAGAAUAGGGAAUGAUUCUAGUUCGACGGUACCAUACCAGAAAGGGACGGCUAAAUACGUGCCAGCAGCCGCGGUAAUACGUAUGUCCCGAGCGUUAUCCGGAUUUAUUGGGCGUAAAGCGAGCGCAGACGGUUGAUUAAGUCUGAUGUGAAAGCCCGGAGCUCAACUCCGGAAUGGCAUUGGAAACUGGUUAACUUGAGUGUUGUAGAGGUAAGUGGAACUCCUUGGUUGACC
rnacentral:rRNA from 1 species